rnacentral:rRNA from 1 species
GCAGCAGGAGGGAAUCUUCGGCAAUGGACGGAAGUCUGACCGAGCAACGCCGCGUGAGUGAAGAAGGUUUUCGGAUCGUAAAGCUCUGUUGUAAGAGAAGAACGAGUGUGAGAGUGGAAAGUUCACACUGUGACGGUAUCUUACCAGAAAGGGACGGCUAACUACGUGCCAGCAGCCGCGGUAAUACGUAGGUCCCGAGCGUUGUCCGGAUUUAUUGGGCGUAAAGCGAGCGCAGGCGGUUAGAUAAGUCUGAAGUUAAAGGCUGUGGCUUAACCAUAGUACGCUUUGGAAACUGUUUAACUUGAGUGCAAGAGGGGAGAGUGGAAUUCCAUGUGUAGCGGUGAAAUGCGUAGAUAUAUGGAGGAACACCGGUGGCGAAAGCGGCUCUCUGGCUUGUAACUGACGCUGAGGCUCGAAAGCGUGGGGAGCAAACAGGAUUAGAUACCCUGGUAGUCCACGCCGUAAACGAUGAGUGCUAGGUGUUAGACCCUUUCCGGGGUUUAGUGCCGCAGCUAACGCAUUAAGCACUCCGCCUGGGGAGUACGACCGCAAGGUUGAAACUCAAAGGAAUUGACGG